UCUUCCCAUUCCGAACAGAGAAGUUAAACCUUGUAACGCCGAUGGUACUGCGAAAGCGGGAGAGUAGGUAAUCGCCGACU
rnacentral:rRNA from 1 species